rnacentral:lncRNA from 1 species
GGUCCUUCCGCACAUCAUGAAAUCUUCUGAAACCACUAAGAGUUAUCCUCCACCUUUGAACCAGCAAUGGUACCUAGGGAAUCAGCCCCUUCCCUUUAUCUCUUGCAUCUUUUUUCCAAAAAACUCCACUGCGACCCAUCAUAUCCUCUAGCCUUUUCUCCAAGGCCAAAUGCAACUCAAGUUGGACCAACAAAUCUUUCACCCUAACCUUCCACACCAAGAAGCUCCCCUUCUCAUCAACCUUCUCAAACCUCACCUUCAUCCCACUGCUAUUUAUUGGCCAAACCAUAAUCACUACAAAAGGCAAGAUAGAUCUAAGAAGCAUAUACCUUGGAACAGGAUGUGCUAAUUUAUUUUUCCCUGACGGAUCUCCUUCUUCUUCCUCCCCAACACCACCUGAUGUUAUGGGAUUUUUCUUCUUAACUCCUACCCCUU